AGCAGCCGCGGUAAUUCCAGCUCCAAUAGCGUAUAUUAAAGUUGUUGCAGUUAAAAAGCUCGUAGUUGAAUUUCGGGGUCAGUAGAUUGGUCAUGCCACUGGUAUGUACUGGUCUCACUGAUUCCUCCUUCCUGAUGAGCCGUAAUGCCAUUAAUUUGGUGUUGCGAGGAAUCUGGACUGUUACUUUGAAAAAAUUAGAGUGUUUAAAGCAGGCUAACGCUUGAAUACAUUAGCAUGGGAUAAUGAAAUAGGACGUUCGAUCUUAUUUUGUUGGUUUCUAAGAUUGACGUAAUGAUUAAUAGGGAUAGUUGGGGGCAUUAGUAUUCAAUUGUCAGAGGUGAAAUUCUUGGAUUUAUUGAAGACUAACUACUGCGAAAGCAUUUGCCAAGGAUGUUUUCAUUAAUCAAGAACGAAAGUUAGGGGAUCGAAGACGAUCAGAUACCGUCGUAGUCUUAACCAUAAACUAUGCCGACUAGGGAUCGGAUGAUGU
rnacentral:rRNA from 1 species